CAGCUUUCUUAAUUGGCUGACCUAGCUGAUUGCACUCCACAACAAUUCUCUCGUCCUCACGCAUCUGCCACACAUCUCGUACUACUGUGGAUCCACAUCUGGGGUGUACUCUCCCAGAUCCGUCUAUAAAAAAUACAUAAAAGUAAUGAUAUCAUAAAUAUACAUAAAAUAAAAUAAAAAUAAAAUUACAUGAAAGACAAUAUAUACCCUGUACGUGUAUCUCAUCAUCUGGCUGAUGAACAGGAGGAUCGUGCUGUGCUGAUGAUGAAGAAGGA
rnacentral:lncRNA from 1 species